rnacentral:tRNA from 1 species
AAGAUUCUAAGUUAAAUGAAACUAAUUGCUUUCAAAGCUUUAAAUAGUGAUCUUG